rnacentral:lncRNA from 10 species
CAAAAAAAUGUAUAAUUUUCUUAUUCAAAAUCGCCUACAGCAUUUUAAAUGAGGAAACCUAAACUAUUAAGAAAAAAAUUGUUCACAUUUUCAAUGCAUAGGCAAAGGCAUGUCGAAAUAUUCAUUAUGUGUGUACAGAAUUCCCUGAGUUAGUAGGGCUCUACAGAGCCAGUUAGUAAGUGAAUGCAUUAUGCUAUCAAUAUUAGGACUUUUUUCCUAAAGGAUGAUGAAACUAUCAUGUAUGAUACUCAAGUGAUGGAUACACAACAGCAUGCAUUUGUCAAGACCCAUACAAUUUAUAGCACAAAAACUGACUUUAAUAUACGCAAAUUUAAAAAAUUAUUUGAAAGGUUGGGAGUUCUCAGAAUGAAAUGCAUACUGUGACAAAAGAAUCUAACUGCAUAACAUGUACAAAACAAUCUCACUAAAAAAAUAAGGAGAAAAGGUUCUGGCUUAAGAAAGUUUGAAAAUGAGUGGAGUCUGUAAGACUAACAGCAAAUAAACUUCAUGUAAGUAUU